GGAAUCUCUACCGGGCCAUGGGAACAACGGAGAAGAAGAAGAUCAUCAUUGAUACCGACCCCGGAAUCGAUGAUGCGAUGGCGAUAUUUGUGGCCUUGAAUUCUCCGGAGGUGGAGGUGAUCGGGCUGACAACGAUCUAUGGGAACGUUUAUACGACGCUGGCCACAAGGAAUGCGUUGCAUCUGUUGGACGCUGCAGAGAGGACUGAUAUUCCGGUUGCCGAGGGUUCUCAUGUAACAAUCACGAAAGGGACAAAGCUUCGAAUAGCUGAUUUUGUUCAUGGUGCCGAUGGACUUGGAAACCAGAACUUUCCUCCACCAAAGGGAAAGCCAAUUGAUUUGUCAGCUUCUUCUUUUCUCGUUGAACAAGCAAAUUUGUACCCUGGAAAAGUCACCGUGGUUGCUUUUGGGCCACUUACA
rnacentral:misc_RNA from 1 species